UCAAGUGAAGAAGCGCAUACGGUGGAUGCCUUGGCAGUCAGAGGCGAUGAAAGACGUGGUAGCCUGCGAUAAGCUUUGGGGAGUCGGCAAACAGACUGUGAUCCAGAGAUCUCUGAAUGGGGGAACCCACUCAGCAUAAGCUGAGUAUCUUGUACUGAAUACAUAGGUGCAAGAGGCGAACCAGGGGAACUGAAACAUCUAAGUACCCUGAGGAAAAGAAAUCAACCGAGAUUCCCUUAGUAGUGGCGAGCGAACGGGGACCAGCCCUUAAGUUGGUUUGAGAUUAGUGGAACGCUCUGGAAAGUGCGGCCAUAGUGGGUGAUAGCCCCGUACACGAAAAUCUCUUAUCAAUGAAAUCGAGUAGGACGGAGCACGAGAAACUUUGUCUGAACAUGGGGGGACCAUCCUCCAAGGCUAAAUACUACUGACUGACCGAUAGUGAACCAGUACCGUGAGGGAAAGGCGAAAAGAACCCCGGAGAGGGGAGUGAAAUAGAACCUGAAACCGUAUGCGUACAAGCAGUGGGAGCCUACUUUGUUAGGUGACUGCGUACCUUUUGUAUAAUGGGUCAGCGACUUAUAUUCAGUGGCGAGCUUAACCGAAUAGGGGAGGCGUAGCGAAAGCGAGUCUUAAUAGGGCGUUUAGUCGCUGGGUAUAGACCCGAAACCGGGCGAUCUAUCCAUGGGCAGGUUGAAGGUUAGGUAACACUGACUGGAGGACCGAACCGACUACCGUUGAAAAGUUAGCGGAUGACCUGUGGAUCGGAGUGAAAGGCUAAUCAAGCUCGGAGAUAGCUGGUUCUCCUCGAAAGCUAUUUAGGUAGCGCCUCAUGUAUCACUGUAGGGGGUAGAGCACUGUUUCGGCUAGGGGGUCAUCCCGACUUACCAAACCGAUGCAAACUCCGAAUACCUACAAGUGCCGAGCAUGGGAGACACACGGCGGGUGCUAACGUCCGUCGUGAAAAGGGAAACAACCCAGACCGUCAGCUAAGGUCCCAAAGUCAUGGUUAAGUGGGAAACGAUGUGGGAAGGCUUAGACAGCUAGGAGGUUGGCUUAGAAGCAGCCACCCUUUAAAGAAAGCGUAAUAGCUCACUAGUCGAGUCGGCCUGCGCGGAAGAUGUAACGGGGCUCAAACCAUGCACCGAAGCUACGGGUAUCACCUUUAGGUGAUGCGGUAGAGGAGCGUUCUGUAAGCCUGUGAAGGUGAGUUGAGAAGCUUGCUGGAGGUAUCAGAAGUGCGAAUGCUGACAUGAGUAACGACAAUGCGAGUGAAAAACUCGCACGCCGAAAGACCAAGGUUUCCUGCGCAACGUUAAUCGACGCAGGGUUAGUCGGUCCCUAAGGCGAGGCUGAAAAGCGUAGUCGAUGGAAAACAGGUUAAUAUUCCUGUACUUCCAGUUAUUGCGAUGGAGGGACGGAGAAGGCUAGGCCAGCUUGGCGUUGGUUGUCCAAGUUUAAGGUGGUAGGCUGAGAUCUUAGGCAAAUCCGGGAUCUUAAGGCCGAGAGCUGAUGACGAGUGCUCAUUAGAGCGCGAAGUGGUUGAUGCCAUGCUUCCAAGAAAAGCUCCUAAGCUUCAGAUAACUGGGAACCGUACCCCAAACCGACACAGGUGGUUAGGUAGAGAAUACCAAGGCGCUUGAGAGAACUCGGGUGAAGGAACUAGGCAAAAUGGCACCGUAACUUCGGGAGAAGGUGCGCCGGCGAGGGUUAAGGACUUGCUCCGUAAGCCCAUGCCGGUCGAAGAUACCAGGCCGCUGCGACUGUUUAUUAAAAACACAGCACUCUGCAAACACGAAAGUGGACGUAUAGGGUGUGACGCCUGCCCGGUGCCGGAAGGUUAAUUGAUGGGGUUAGCGCAAGCGAAGCUCUUGAUCGAAGCCCCGGUAAACGGCGGCCGUAACUAUAACGGUCCUAAGGUAGCGAAAUUCCUUGUCGGGUAAGUUCCGACCUGCACGAAUGGCGUAACGAUGGCGGCGCUGUCUCCACCCGAGACUCAGUGAAAUUGAAAUCGCUGUGAAGAUGCAGUGUAUCCGCGGCUAGACGGAAAGACCCCGUGAACCUUUACUAUAGCUUUGCACUGGACUUUGAAUUUGCUUGUGUAGGAUAGGUGGGAGGCUUUGAAGUGGGGACGCCAGUUCUCAUGGAGCCAUCCUUGAAAUACCACCCUGGCAACUUUGAGGUUCUAACUCAGGUCCGUUAUCCGGAUCGAGGACAGUGUAUGGUGGGUAGUUUGACUGGGGCGGUCUCCUCCCAAAGAGUAACGGAGGAGUACGAAGGUGCGCUCAGACCGGUCGGAAAUCGGUCGUAGAGUAUAAAGGCAAAAGCGCGCUUGACUGCGAGACAAACACGUCGAGCAGGUACGAAAGUAGGUCUUAGUGAUCCGGUGGUUCUGUAUGGAAGGGCCAUCGCUCAACGGAUAAAAGGUACUCCGGGGAUAACAGGCUGAUACCGCCCAAGAGUUCAUAUCGACGGCGGUGUUUGGCACCUCGAUGUCGGCUCAUCACAUCCUGGGGCUGAAGCCGGUCCCAAGGGUAUGGCUGUUCGCCAUUUAAAGUGGUACGCGAGCUGGGUUUAGAACGUCGUGAGACAGUUCGGUCCCUAUCUGCCGUGGACGUUUGAGAUUUGAGAGGGGCUGCUCCUAGUACGAGAGGACCGGAGUGGACGAACCUCUGGUGUUCCGGUUGUCACGCCAGUGGCAUUGCCGGGUAGCUAUGUUCGGAAGAGAUAACCGCUGAAAGCAUCUAAGCGGGAAACUUGCCUCAAGAUGAGAUCUCACUGGAACCUUGAGUUCCCUAAAGGGCCGUCGAAGACUACGACGUUGAUAGGUUGGGUGUGUAAGCGCUGUGAGGCGUUGAGCUAACCAAUACUAAUUGCCCGUGAGGCUUGACCAU
rnacentral:rRNA from 1 species